AGUAAACAAACAACAUGAUGAACAUGAUGGGGAUCCCAAAUCUGAACGUCAAUUUUCAUGAUUAUUUCACGACGAAGAUCAUCACAUCAAUGAAUCAAAUAAUACGGACAUGCCUUUGGUAUCAGCAGGGUGCUGGCACCAUAUGCAACAAUAGAUCUACCUUCAUCUGUGAAUACAUGUACCCACUUGCUAAGCCCACCAUGAACUACGAAGGCCAAUUAAUAUGUAAGGACACCAGUUAACAGGUAAAUUUUUGUUUUGGUAUUGAAAAUUUCUGUAUUUCUAAAAUUUCAAAAAUAAAGUCAAAUUUCAUUUGUGUCAUUCUCAUGAUAUUGCAUUCAUACAAGUUUAUAAACAUUUGAUUUAAUUAUUUCGAAGAAUAAGUGUUUGAAACACAUAAUACUUAUGAUGCUUGAUUAUUCAUACAAACACAUUAUUUAAACACGUAAUAUCUAUUUGAAUGAAUGCCGAGAUAUGGAACAAGCUGUUUUUGUAAACUGCUGUUGUAUUUCCAAUCUGCAUAAAGUAUGUGGUUAAAAUUUCCAUUUUCUCAAUUUUUCAGACACUUUCCAAUUAUCGUACAUCGUACAUGGGUGGUCAAACUCACUGGAUGGUUUAUCAACACUCCCACGCUCAUGAACAGCAUUGCCCCAGGAAUUUUGCCCUGAAGUAACAUUGCAGUCUAUUGUCUCCAUUCUUUUUACAACCCUGGCAGCCAUGCAGGAUAGAAGCUGAUCACUUGUACUUGAGAGCAAAUAAUAAUGUCUUGGACAAGUACAAGAAUUUCCUCCAGUCUUACAGAGAAAUGACAGUUGAUAAAAGAAUGGUGGACACAAAGUAAAAGUGCUCUUCAACAUUUUGUUGAAGAUUUCAGUCUGACUUGGAAUUCGUCUUGCAAUAUUUCUGGAUUUGUAUAUUUGGAUAUAAACAUCACAUUUUCAACUUAUUGACUAAACAGUUUUGCAUUAAAUAUUGCCAAUGCUAUGUAUUAUUAUUAUUUACCUCAAAGAUAACAUGUCAAGUCUUUAUUGUACCCCUUAAUCUCUGUUAUACCACAAAAAUCUUGUAAUGAAAUCAAUUAGUUUAUUUUUUCUUGUUAGAUUAAAUCCAUGAAAAUAAAAAUUAUUUUUAAUGGCAUCAAGAGAAUGGAUUUUUUUGUUUAA